rnacentral:lncRNA from 1 species
GAGGCGGGGCGCCUGUGGGAGCCGUGGAGGGAACUUUCCCAGUCCCCGAGGCGGAUCCGGUGUUGCAUCCUUGGAGCGAGCUGAGAGCUCGAGGUGAGCUGGGCUCGCGGUCGCCCCUCUCGCGCGCCCUCUUUAAGAACCACGGCGUCCAACCUCCCUGGAAAUGGGGGGAACAUGGCCGAGGCGCGUGGCGAGGCCGCCUCGUGGAGGCCCCGGAGCGGCAUCCUCAGCGCCCCAGCGAUCCGGUGCCCAUUAGUACAGAACCUGCUAAGGCCAUCAAACCUAUUGAUCGGAAGUCAGUCCAUCAGAUUUGCUCUGGGCCGGUGGUACCGAGUCUAAGCACUGCGGUGAAGGAGUUAGUAGAAAACAGUCUGGAUGCUGGUGCCACUAAUAUUGAUCUAAAGCUUAAGGACUAUGGAGUGGAUCUCAUUGAAGUUUCAGGCAAUGGAUGUGGGGUAGAAGAAGAAAACUUCGAAGGCUUAACUCUGAAACAUCACACAUCUAAGAUUCAAGAGUUUGCCGACCUACCUCAGGUUGAAACUUUUGGCUUUCGGGGGGAAGCUCUGAGCUCACUUUGUGCACUGAGUGAUGUCACCAUUUCUACCUGCCAUGUAUCGGCGAAGGUUGGGACUCGACUGGUGUUUGAUCACUAUGGGAAAAUCAUCCAGAAAACCCCCUACCCCCACCCCAGAGGGAUGACAGUCAGUGUGAAGCAGUUAUUUUCUACGCUACCUGUGCACCAUAAAGAAUUUCAAAGGAAUAUUAAGAAGUGAGUGAGCGCUCAUGGGAUCUGGUUGUUUAGAAGCAUGCACCACCUCCCGCUUCACUCUCUCUGUCUCUCCUGCUCCACCAUGGCCAGAAACGUGCCUGCUUCCCCUUCGCCUUCUGCCGUGAUUGUCAGUUUCCUGAGGCCUCCCCAGCCAUGCUUCCUGUACAGCCUGCAGAACUGACUCCUAGAAGUACCCCACCCCACCCCUGCUCCUUGGAGGACAACGUGAUCACUGUAUUCAGCUCUGUCAAGAAUGGUCCAGGUUCUUCUAGAUGAUCUGCACAAAUGGCUCCUCUCCUCCUUCCUGAUGUCUGCCAUUAGCACUGGAAUAAAGUUCCUGCUGAAAAUCCACA